rnacentral:lncRNA from 1 species
UAACAUAAUUAAAAGAAAAUUUUAUUUUGAGAGGAAAUAAUUUCAAUUUUUCGGUCCUAUUACUUAAUAUGAACAAUGUACUCAUUGUUAGAAGUGAAUAGAUACUAUAGACCAGGUAGGAUUCUAGAAAAGAGGAGGUGAGUUAAUAUGACUGCUUAAGUACCAAGCUCUCUCUAGGUCCAAUCCUAGACAUGUACAUAUCUAUUGCCACACUUCUUAUUUUGCAACUUGUUCAUUUUUAUUUAUGAUUUCCACGUCUGAUCUUAUUAUGCAAAAAGUAAA